GCGAUGUGAAAUUGAACUCAACCGGGGUCAAAUUGACUCUAGUAGGGAGUCCGUAUUAUAAACAUAGUGACUCCCUAACGGAGUCAGAUUGACCUCUUUGAAGUGAACACGACGUGCGAAG
rnacentral:pre_miRNA from 12 species